GACAAAGAGUGAUGAUUCAAUUAGAUGUGUGAAAAGAGAGUAAUCCUUUUUUCUUUUUAUGAACUCAAUUAUUUGAGGCAUUUGGAUUUGUCUGACUUGCCUUUC